rnacentral:rRNA from 1 species
UACGUAGGGUGCGAGCGUUGUCCGGAAUUACUGGGCGUAAAGAGCUCGUAGGUGGUUUGUCGCGUUGUUCGUGAAAACUCACAGCUUAACUGUGGGCGUGCGGGCGAUACGGGCAGACUGGAGUACUGCAGGGGGAGACUGAAUUCCUGGUGUAGCGGUGGAAUGCGCAGAUAUCAGGAAGAACACCAAUGGCGAAGGCAGCUCUCUGGGACGGUACUGACGCUGAGACGCGAAAGCGUGGGGGAGCGAACAGG